GGAAGAGUAAAUGUGUACUGAGAACCAUAGAGCUGAAAAUGGAACAUGGGAAAUCAAAAGCUUGAUGCAGAACACAUCCCGCUCAACUUCCCUAAAUGCCGUCUGUCCACCACACAUCAUCAAACGGUCAAAUAAAAAGCUAGAUGCAAGAAGCUCCACUCCACUUCCCUAAAUGUGAUGUCCGUCACAUGUUGUCACGUCGGGUGCCAGUGAUGGCAACUGACAUUUACUCUUAAUGUGGAACAACAACAGGCAUCUCCAAUGUGCACGUCAGGCGGCGUCAAAGUCAAUGCUACAAACAUUAAAGGAAGAGCCGUCUUCAGAAAUCCUCCCUCUCUUGCACACGUAACAUCAAAGGUUACUAACGUCAAUGAGUGGUUUCAUCUUUGGCAAUCCUCUUUCUCUUGUGCAUGCUUCAUCAAAGGGUGAGUACACAGUUUUUUUUUAAUGCUAUUAUUAAUAAGCGUUAACUUAUACACUUGUGAAGAAUGUUCAAAUGUUAUGUAAAACAUUACCUAGACGUUAAAAAAAUGGUAAUGGUGACAGUUUGAC